GCUGAGAAGAGACUCUACACUGGAAGAACACACUUUGGGAAGAGCAGAAUCAGCCCCUUCAUCAUUUUGGUUUCCCUCUUCUGCUGCACCUUCUUCAGUUCGACAGUAUCCCUUCUUUUGUAAUCUGGCGACUGGAACGAUACACAUUACUUCUGAGGAACAGUUACAACUGGAAAGAAGGUCAGCUUCAUGUUGUUGUUGUUGUUGUUGUUGUUGCUGUUGUUCUUAUACCCCAGUAAGCUUUCAUACCACCUUGGGUUUAUUCCCUCUUUUUGACAGUUAAAGCACCACAUUUUCAUUGAUGCCAGGAGAUGUUGAACAGUAGGGCACACAUCUUGGGGUGCCUCUGUUAUGGCACAAGAGAUAUUCCCAGACUGAUUGGGCAAGGUUCGGACCACAAUGUGUGUCUGGACAUUUAAAUUUGCAUUCUGAUUGGGCAAGACCUCUAGGGUUUUUAAAUUCUGUCUUGAUUGAAUUGGGCAAGAUCUCUAGGAUUUUUAAAUUGUAUAUGGAAUUGGGCAAGAUCAAGGCCUGUGUGGGCCUCGAUUUUUAAAUUGCAUCCCCCAGCUUGACAUUGACGUUUGUAUUCUGAUUGGGCAAGACCUCUAGGGUUUUUAAAUUCUGUAAGGAAUUGGGCAAGAUCAGGGCCUGUGUGGGCCUCGAUUUUUAAAUUGCAUCCCCCAGCUUGACUCAGCACACAAUCUCUAGGUUCCCUUAGAGUGAAUUGGGCAUGAUACCAUUUUUUUUUAAAAAAUACCAUUGUCUGGGCAGCUUUAGGCCAGUGGACUGGAGUCCCAUGAGCUUGGAAUCUCCAAUGGCCCAACUGGGCAAGACGAUAGGUGUCUUUAAAUUCUGUCAGGGCCUUGUGGACAUAUUUUUUUAGCCAGGGGUGUAGUGUUAAAUUUGGAUCGACUGACCACCCACUUUGAUUCAUGCUCUUGAUCAAGACUGAAUCAAAUGCAUCACGUUGCGUGUUUUAUAUGCGCUGUGUCCCAAGUGUUUGGUGACCCAUGAAGAGAUGACUUCUUGUUUAGUGCACUCAUGGCCAUCUCGGAUCCUUAUUCCUUACUCAAGGAAAGCAUUGAUUUUGAAUGCUGGGCUCAAGGUUUUGAUGUUUUUCAUGUCUAUUGAUAAAAUGGUAGAAAUCAUUUCACAUGCAAAUGUUUAAAUUGAUUAUGUCAUGCAAGGGUUUUGAGAACUGUCUUGACUAAAGAAAUAGUCUGAUUGCCUUGUCAGCAAGAAUGGUUCUUGCAGCCUAGGUGCAAAUCCUGCUAUCUUGCACAGACACAACAAGCCUUGUGGAAGGUUGUGUCUUUGUUGAAGAUGAUGUUUAGCAGUUUAGCAUUCAAGACUCUUCAGACAUGGAUUGCGUGAACGCCCGGCCUGAGAAAUUGACACCAGAGUGAAUGGAGGCGAAUGCACCUGCUUAAGGAGAGGAAGGCAGAUCACCAAAGGCGGCGGGAGUCCUGUGGUGAGGAUGGGAGGUUGGGAGAAGCUGAGAAGAGACUCUACACUGGAAGAACACACUUUGGGAAGAGCAGAAUCAGCCCCUUCAUCAUUUUGGUUUCCCUCUUCUGCUGCACCUUCUUCAGUUCGACAGUAUCCCUUCUUUUGUAAUCUGGCGACUGGAACGAUACACAUUACUUCUGAGGAACAGUUACAACUGGAAAGAAGGUCAGCUUCAUGUUGUUGUUGUUGUUGUUGUUGUUGCUGUUGUUCUUAUACCCCAGUAAGCUUUCAUACCACCUUGGGUUUAUUCCCUCUUUUUGACAGUUAAAGCACCACAUUUUCAUUGAUGCCAGGAGAUGUUGAACAGUAGGGCACACAUCUUGGGGUGCCUCUGUUAUGGCACAAGAGAUAUUCCCAGACUGAUUGGGCAAGGUUCGGACCACAAUGUGUGUCUGGACAUUUAAAUUUGCAUUCUGAUUGGGCAAGACCUCUAGGGUUUUUAAAUUCUGUCUUGAUUGAAUUGGGCAAGAUCUCUAGGAUUUUUAAAUUGUAUAUGGAAUUGGGCAAGAUCAAGGCCUGUGUGGGCCUCGAUUUUUAAAUUGCAUCCCCCAGCUUGACAUUGACAUUUGUAUUCUGAUUGGGCAAGACCUCUAGGGUUUUUAAAUUCUGUAAGGAAUUGGGCAAGAUCAGGGCCUGUGUGGGCCUCGAUUUUUAAAUUGCAUCCCCCAGCUUGACUCAGCACACAAUCUCUAGGUUCCCUUAGAGUGAAUUGGGCAUGAUACCAUUUUUUUAAAAAAAUACCAUUGUCUGGGCAGCUUUAGGCCAGUGGACUGGAGUCCCAUGAGCUUGGAAUCUCCAAUGGCCCAACUGGGCAAGACGAUAGGUGUCUUUAAAUUCUGUCAGGGCCUUGUGGACAUAUUUUUUUAGCCAGGGGUGUAGUGUUAAAUUUGGAUCGACUGACCACCCACUUUGAUUCAUGCUCUUGAUCAAGACUGAAUCAAAUGCAUCACGUUGCGUGUUUUAUAUGCGCUGUGUCCCAAGUGUUUGGUGACCCAUGAAGAGAUGACUUCUUGUUUAGUGCACUCAUGGCCAUCUCGGAUCCUUAUUCCUUACUCAAGGAAAGCAUUGAUUUUGAAUGCUGGGCUCAAGGUUUUGAUGUUUUUCAUGUCUAUUGAUAAAAUGGUAGAAAUCAUUUCACAUGCAAAUGUUUAAAUUGAUUAUGUCAUGCAAGGGUUUUGAGAACUGUCUUGACUAAAGAAAUAGUCUGAUUGCCUUGUCAGCAAGAAUGGUUCUUGCAGCCUAGGUGCAAAUCCUGCUAUCUUGCACAGACACAACAAGCCUUGUGGAAGGUUGUGUCUUUGUUGAAGAUGAUGUUUAGCAGUUUAGCAUUCAAGACUCUUCAGACAUGGAUUGCGUGAACGCCCGGCCUGAGAAAUUGACACCAGAGUGAAUGGAGGCGAAUGCACCUGCUUAAGGAGAGGAAGGCAGAUCACCAAAGGCGGCGGGAGUCCUGUGGUGAGGAUGGGAGGUUGGGAGAAGCUGAGAAGAGACUCUACACUGGAAGAACACACUUUGGGAAGAGCAGAAUCAGCCCCUUCAUCAUUUUGGUUUCCCUCUUCUGCUGCACCUUCUUCAGUUCGACAGUAUCCCUUCUUUUGUAAUCUGGCGACUGGAACGAUACACAUUACUUCUGAGGAACAGUUACAACUGGAAAGAAGGUCAGCUUCAUGUUGUUGUUGUUGUUGUUGUUGUUGCUGUUGUUCUUAUACCCCAGUAAGCUUUCAUACCACCUUGGGUUUAUUCCCUCUUUUUGACAGUUAAAGCACCACAUUUUCAUUGAUGCCAGGAGAUGUUGAACAGUAGGGCACACAUCUUGGGGUGCCUCUGUUAUGGCACAAGAGAUAUUCCCAGACUGAUUGGGCAAGGUUCGGACCACAAUGUGUGUCUGGACAUUUAAAUUUGCAUUCUGAUUGGGCAAGACCUCUAGGGUUUUUAAAUUCUGUCUUGAUUGAAUUGGGCAAGAUCUCUAGGAUUUUUAAAUUGUAUAUGGAAUUGGGCAAGAUCAAGGCCUGUGUGGGCCUCGAUUUUUAAAUUGCAUCCCCCAGCUUGACAUUGACAUUUGUAUUCUGAUUGGGCAAGACCUCUAGGGUUUUUAAAUUCUGUAAGGAAUUGGGCAAGAUCAGGGCCUGUGUGGGCCUCGAUUUUUAAAUUGCAUCCCCCAGCUUGACUCAGCACACAAUCUCUAGGUUCCCUUAGAGUGAAUUGGGCAUGAUACCAUUUUUUUAAAAAAAUACCAUUGUCUGGGCAGCUUUAGGCCAGUGGACUGGAGUCCCAUGAGCUUGGAAUCUCCAAUGGCCCAACUGGGCAAGACGAUAGGUGUCUUUAAAUUCUGUCAGGGCCUUGUGGACAUAUUUUUUUAGCCAGGGGUGUAGUGUUAAAUUUGGAUCGACUGACCACCCACUUUGAUUCAUGCUCUUGAUCAAGACUGAAUCAAAUGCAUCACGUUGCGUGUUUUAUAUGCGCUGUGUCCCAAGUGUUUGGUGACCCAUGAAGAGAUGACUUCUUGUUUAGUGCACUCAUGGCCAUCUCGGAUCCUUAUUCCUUACUCAAGGAAAGCAUUGAUUUUGAAUGCUGGGCUCAAGGUUUUGAUGUUUUUCAUGUCUAUUGAUAAAAUGGUAGAAAUCAUUUCACAUGCAAAUGUUUAAAUUGAUUAUGUCAUGCAAGGGUUUUGAGAACUGUCUUGACUAAAGAAAUAGUCUGAUUGCCUUGUCAGCAAGAAUGGUUCUUGCAGCCUAGGUGCAAAUCCUGCUAUCUUGCACAGACACAACAAGCCUUGUGGAAGGUUGUGUCUUUGUUGAAGAUGAUGUUUAGCAGUUUAGCAUUCAAGACUCUUCAGACAUGGAUUGCGUGAACGCCCGGCCUGAGAAAUUGACACCAGAGUGAAUGGAGGCGAAUGCACCUGCUUAAGGAGAGGAAGGCAGAUCACCAAAGGCGGCGGGAGUCCUGUGGUGAGGAUGGGAGGUUGGGCGAAGCUAAGAAGAAGGAGAGAAGAGUCUCUACACUGGAAGAACACACUUUGGGAAGAGCAGAAUCAGCCCCUUCAUCAUUUUGGUUUCCCUCUUCUGCUGCACCUUCUUCAGUUCGACAGUGUCCCUUCUUUUGUAAUCUGGUGACUGGAACGAAACACAAGUGAAUGCAGAAGAAAAGUGACGUAACAUCAGAGAAUCUCUGGGGAAGUGAUUUGAAACCGAGGUAAUCUUCUGCCUUCUUUUUCAAAUGGUAAGUGAAAUAAAAGGCAAAAAGUUAGAAAUAUCUUACAUAACAGAUGCCUGGGUGAGCAGGCAUUUGGGCAAAUGGAACCAUCCCCCCCGCAGCCCCCCAGCCCCAAUCAGUGACAAAAUGUGGAGCCCCACCACCACAUGGAGCUCUAAAAUGGGUCGGGAAAUCCCGGGUGGUGUUGGGGAACUCUGACUCAAUGUAGGCUUCCCAACGUCGGGGUUGGCUGAUCCCCGACACCCUCCAACGUGUCCAAUCUCAGGCCAUGUCCAACACAACUGAUGCAGACUUGAACAGCCGUAUAUUAAGCACCUUCUCUCUUUCUGUUCCGAUUCUGCCCCCAAACUGAGCUGAACAGACCCAAGCCCAGAGAUGGAAGGGGAGCUGAAAAGGCUGGAGAACAGCAGAGACACUCUCAAGGCUGGCUUCUACGAAUCCUUCGGUGCACUGCAUCCUCCCCAUGACUCCGAUGACAGCAGCAAUGGACCGAGAGAGAACCUACAUUACGUGUUCAGGACUACAGAAAUCCCCCUCCCCUUGGCCUCGUGCAGAGGGGAGGGAGUUUGUCCCAGCCCCGCUCUGCAUGAGGCCCAAGAAGCGGGCCGAUUGGCCCUUUGGGUUAGGGGGCGGGGUUUCGGCCGGGAUCAGCCGAUCCCUGCCCCGUUCUCCACAGUUUGGGCCAGGCAUUCCCCUCCCUCCCUCCCUGGUACAGAGCGGGUCUAGCGACUGGUCGCCCAACGGGGCCGAGUAGGAAUUUUUUGCUCCCAACGCAUUGGCCACUGUUGGGGGUUUUUUCGCCUACUCCGUUCUGUGUUCCAGGUGUGUAGUUAGAGUUAGGCCGGUCACAAUGGCAGUAACAGUGCGGGCGGGGUGGUAAUUUGAGGGUUAGAACAUCGGUGAGCACCCUUGGAUAUUUAAAAGGGUGAUUGGUCAAUCGCUCCUUUGUGGCCUGUGCGGCACGGGGAGAAUGGAUUGCCAUGAAACCUGCUUCAGGACUUCACCCACCUUUGGGCUGAGCGGUCCGGGGUGGGCGAAGACCUUGAAGUAUCCAGAUCCUCUCUUACGAAAGGGGGGGUUGGCUUUGAAGGAAUUGGGCGGGGCGUACCUGCCCGUUUCCGGAGCCAGGGUGUGUCGCCCAGUAAGGUGCUGGGUAGGACGUCAGAGUUCUAACCCGGUCCUAUUGGCCCGCACUGUUCUCUAAGGGUGAUUAGUCACCUGGUGUUCCAGUCCGCCAUGUCUUUUGUUACAGUUAAUAAAGUUGUGGCCCUUUUACCCA